AUACGGAGGAUGCAAGCGUUAUCCGGAUUUAUUGGGUUUAAAGGGUGCGUAGGCGGUUUGCUAAGCGGGAGGUGAAAUGCCGGCGCUCAACGUCGGAAGUGCCUCCCGAACUGGUGGACUUGAAUGACUCUGCCGUGGGAGGAAUGUGUAGUGUAGCGGUGAAAUGCUUAGAGAUUACACAGAACACCGAUUGCGAAGGCAUCUCACGAAGGGGUGAUUGACGCUGAGGCACGAAAGCGUGGGGAUCAAACAGGAUUAGAUACCCUGGUAGUCCACGCAGUAAACGAUGAUGGCUAACCGCUGGGCUUAUCAGUUCAGUGGCCAAGCGAAAGCGAUAAGCCAUCCACCUGGGGAGUACGACCGCAAGGUUGAAACUCAAAGGAAUUGACGGGG
rnacentral:rRNA from 1 species